GGGGGCUGAUUUGAAUCAGGGUAAAGGCGCGAGGGGAGUGGGCAGCUCCCUGACACCUUCAUGGCAUCAUCCCCCCACCCAGAGGUGCCCCAAGGGAUCCACAUCAGCGCUGGGCCUCCCUGGCCUCACCCCAGUUCCCAAAGCUGGCCAUGGUUUGCACUUCAUCACCUCAGGUGGAAUGUCUCCUGUCCGAGACCAGUGGUGUGUCCCUGAGCAGAAACACAACCUUGUCCCCGUGGCCCCAUCAUCUCAGGGAGGGGGGAUUCACCUUACAGAGGUCUC